rnacentral:rRNA from 1 species
GACGAACGCUGGCGGCGUGCUUAACACAUGCAAGUCGAACGAUGAAGCCGGAGCUUGCUCUGGUGAAUUAGUGGCGAACGGGUGAGUAACACGUGAGUAACCUGCCCUUGACUCUGGGAUAACUGCGGGAAACUGUAGCUAAUACCGGAUACGACCCUCGGAGGCAUCUCCUGGGGGUGGAAAGAAUUUCGGUCAAGGAUGGACUCGCGGCCUAUCAGCUAGUUGGUGAGGUAAAGGCUCACCAAGGCGACGACGGGUAGCCGGCCUGAGAGGGUGACCGGCCACACUGGGGCUGAGACACGGCCCAGACUCCUACGGGAGGCAGCAGUGGGGAAUAUUGCACAAUGGGAGCAAGCCUGAUGCAGCAACGCCGCGUGAGGGAUGACGGCCUUCGGGUUGUAAACCUCUUUUAGCAGGGAAGAAGCGAAAGUGACGGUACCUGCAGAAAAAGCACCGGCUAACUACGUGCCAGCCGCCGCUGUAA